AUUGAACGCUGGCGGCAUGCUUUACACAUGCAAGUCGAACGGCAGCGCGGGCUUCGGCCUGGCGGCGAGUGGCGAACGGGUGAGUAAUAUAUCGGAACGUACCCAGGAGUGGGGGAUAACGUAGCGAAAGUUACGCUAAUACCGCAUACGUCCUAAGGGAGAAAGCGGGGGAUCGCAAGACCUCGUGCUCAUGGAGCGGCCGAUAUCUGAUUAGCUAGUUGGUGGGGUAAAGGCUCGCCAAGGCAACGAUCAGUAGCUGGUCUGAGAGGACGACCAGCCACACUGGAACUGAGACACGGUCCAGACUCCUACGGGAGGCAGCAGUGGGGAAUUUUGGACAAUGGGGGCAACCCUGAUCCAGCAAUGCCGCGUGAGUGAAGAAGGCCUUCGGGUUGUAAAGCUCUUUUGUCAGGGAAGAAACGACUCCUUCUAAUACAGGGGGUUAAUGACGGUACCUGAAGAAUAAGCACCGGCUAACUACGUGCCAGCCGCCGCGGUAACAC
rnacentral:rRNA from 1 species